UCCAGUUUUUCUUAUAUAUGUUUCAUUUCCAUUAAUUUAUAUUUAUCUGUUUGCAUCUAUUGUUAGUGUUAUAAAUAAUAGUCAAGUUCUUGCGCCUCUGAGCCCUGCAUUUCAUGGCGAAUAAGAAGGAUUUUAGGAUCAAAACAUGCAGAAUUUUGGAAACAGCAAGCAGGAAAGGAGUUAUUUACAGUGACAUAAUGUGGAUUUCUGAAAGGGAAAUGUAUGAUUUUGGACUUAUUUAGAAAUGGGGUCUGUCAUCAAUAUAGCUGCUAAUGGAAUUGGAGGUGUUCUCGGAAAUGCUUUUGCUGUUCCUAUCAAGACUAUUCCUGGCGCAUCAUGCUAGCAUGUAUGUUAAUUCUGUUUGAGAGCUUAGCUUUGAUGAUCCUCUACCUACUGUUCAAGGUGGGUAUUUGCAAAUUCAUAGGAAGAAUGAAGCCUUUGCGAGAUGUGUUGGGCUGCAUGUGAAACAUAUCAGUAUGCUUUAGAAGAUACCACCUGCUUCUUACGGCACAGACUAGAGAAAACAAAGCGAGUAGAUAGAUGCCGAUUUGGAGACAUGGAAGAAGCUGACCAAUACACUUCAAGCUCCAAAAGUGAUUUUUCAUUUAAGUAUCAUCAUCUAAGUGUUGGUGGAAAGCAGGAAUCAAUAACGGGAAGAUAAGAAGAAUCCAGCCUCUCUAUCCUUAAAGCAAGCAUAGCAGUCACAAUUCCCAUAGCCACCGCCCAUGCUAGGUUGAAGACUAGCUGGGAAAGUCUCUGUUCAUUUAACGGGUGCAUCAGGAAGACUAAGGAGUGCAAGAAAGCUUCAAUCAGUUGGAUUGAGAAAUCAUCUAAGAGAUCUUGGAGUUUUCAAAAGAAUGGCGACUUGGGUGAUUGUAGAAGUGAAAUUCUGAAAGCUUUCAUGCCUUGAAUCGGUUUUAGUAUUUG